rnacentral:rRNA from 1 species
UACGAGGGGGGCAAGCGUUGUUCGGAAUUAUUGGGCGUAAAGGGUGCGUAGGCGGUUUGACAAGUCUCAUGUGAAAUCUUCGGGCUCAACUCGAAGUCUGCAUGGGAAACUGUCGGGCUUGAGUAUGGGAGAGGUGAGUGGAAUUUCCGGUGUAGCGGUGAAAUGCGUAGAUAUCGGAAGGAACACCUGUGGCGAAAGCGGCUCACUGGACCAUAACUGACGCUGAGGCACGAAAGCUAGGGGAGCAAACAGG